AAUCCACUCCUCACUUUCUCUUCUCUCGUGCUUUAUCCGUCCAUUCUCUCUCUCAAUCUCAUUUCUCUGCCUCUGCUUCCAUUUCACCGUAAGUUCUCAUUUCUCCGUACCUCACCGUAAGUUCUCAUUUCUCCGUACCUUCCAUUUCAUUCUCUCUUUACCUCUCCUUCGUGUUCAUUUCGCUCUUCUCUUCUCUUCUCCUAGGGUUAGGCUUUUCCAAUUAAGGUGCAUUUUGAACUCCAUACCUACCGAUUAACUACAAUGUAAUCGAUGUUUUAUGCUUUUCUUCAUUUUAAUCUACGAAUAUUAUUUGAUGAUUAUUUGUGCUAUCGCUUAACUCGUUGUUUAUGUGUAGUAGAGUUAAUGUUAUCCGAGUUGUAACAACGGAUAAGGAAGCGUGGAUUUCACACUCAGGGUUUAUCCUCCUUCACUGUUUUCACCAGUGGCUGGAACUAGAAUUAGUUUAAAUUCCAUGCAAAUAUUUAGUUUCGUGUUGCUACCGUUUACCGUGUUGAGUUGAAUGGAGUGUGAAUUUAGUUUGGAGAAAGAAAUUGAGGGAAUAAUCACUAAUGCAGUAGUGCUGGUUUCAAGUUAGUUGCGAAACGUUAAUUCGGAUAGUAGAACUUACCACGGAGCUUCACUAGUGGUUUCUAAUAAUUAUUUAUUAGUUUUUACGGAUAUUGAUGAUCUACAGCCUACAAAAUCCAUAAUAUAUUUAUUUAUUUAUGAGUUAAAAUAAAAAUGAGAAUUUGAAAGGAUAAAUGAGAGGAGGAAAUAGAGAUGACUUGUGUAAAGGGUAAAUGACACGUGUCCAAUUACAGCUGUAUCCCAACUCCAAAGGCAUGUAAGAUUGAAUGGUGAAUAUUAGCUCCUUUCAUCUCUUUCUCUGUGUGUUUUGUAAUUUGAUAUUGUUAGGCAAUUCUUUUAGAAUAGUAGAAUAUGAAUUAAUAAGGUUCCCUUCCAAUGGCAACUCUCCACGCAUUAGUGAAAUUUUGCACAGUGCAGUGCAAAGCCUAUGCUGGAAGCAAAUGUGAGGAUGCGUGUUUUUUUUCAUGUACGUCGGUACGUGUCACACUGCUUAAACUUGUGUCAAUUGAUGGCUACCAAAAUAUUUAGCUCUAUUAGGUAGGUAUGCAGAACGGACAUGGUGACAAAAGAUGCAAUUUUCUGUUAUGCUUUUGUCCAAUUUAAGAAAUUGCUAUGAAAAGGCAUUUGUGCAUAUUCAAAGUGCAAUUUGCUUACUUGUUUGUGAACAACCGCAAAUAUGUAGUUGCUGACAGUGACGUGCUUAAGAAUGUGUUGCUGUUCUUCUCUGCUUCUUGUGCACAUGAAUUUAGGGCAUUUUUUGAAAAAUUUAAACUAGUUAAUAGAAGAAUAUUAUGGCUGUUUCCAUGAGAGAUUUGGAUCUAGCUUUCCAGGGAGCUGGACAAAAGGCUGGACUUGAAAUAUGGCGUAUUGAGAAUUUUAAUCCAGUUCCUGUCCCAAAGUCCUCUUAUGGGAAAUUUUUCACUGGAGACUCCUAUGUGAUCUUAAAGAUCAAUUUCCGUCUUCAUUUUUCUUUGGAGCACAACUGGAAAAAACUCUAAAAACCACAAGCUCUAGAAAAAGGAAGCAUUUGCCAAAACCUCUAUCUGAAGCACAACUGGAUAUCAAUGGCUUAGCAACAAGUUCACCAAAUGUUCAUCAAACGCAAGUAGGCAAUAAAAUGAAGACAAGGAAAAGGAAAUGAUACUUUAUGCAGGAGCCCUGUUUAACCUUUUCCUAAGGCUUCAAAUUACAGUAUCCAUCCUUUUGUGAGAUUGAGAUCCCAUGAGAUGAUCGGCUAGGAUCUCGAUGGAUUUGUUUCCAUUUAGGAAGUAUUUUAAUGAAGUUAGACCAUUAGAAGCAGAGAGAUUCAAGGCGCUUCGUAUCCAGUGGGCACAGCAUUAUCUAAAAGUUAGAAAUCAAACAUAAGAUGUUAGGCAACUAUGUAACUUUAGGUUACUUAAUUAGUUUACAUACUUUGCAUUACAAUUUUUACAAUUGUUGUCUCAUUUUAACAUUGAAUAACCUUUGUUGAUAGCUAGUUUUCCGCUAAAACCUAUUUGAAAGCAGAAUGCAAAUGAUAUAUGUUGUGUGCUGUGUGGUUUGAUUUUAAA